AGCCAUGGCUUACCUCAGCAACUGACUCACCCCACCGAUCGGGGCAGGCUAAUUUUUGCAGCAAUGUGGUGACAACGGAACGUCUGUGUUUGGUCUUUCAACAGAAAAAUGCGGCACAUAAACAAAAUCACAAUCAAAAGCGCUGCAGAAGCAAGAGCUGAAUCUGACACGCCGACCAGAUUCUCGGACGCCCCAGUACACGGUCUUUCUUGCAUGAAACGUGAAACGUGAAACAUGAAACCUGAAGCGUUUA
rnacentral:sRNA from 1 species